rnacentral:rRNA from 1 species
AGUGAACGCUGGCGGUAGGCCUAACACAUGCAAGUCGAACGGCAGCACAGUAAGAGCUUGCUCUUACGGGUGGCGAGUGGCGGACGGGUGAGGAAUACAUCGGAAUCUACUUUUUCGUGGGGGAUAACGUAGGGAAACUUACGCUAAUACCGCAUACGACCUACGGGUGAAAGCAGGGGAUCUUCGGACCUUGCGCGAUUGAAUGAGCCGAUGUCGGAUUAGCUAGUUGGCGGGGUAAAGGCCCACCAAGGCGACGAUCCGUAGCUGGUCUGAGAGGAUGAUCAGCCACACUGGAACUGAGACACGGUCCAGACUCCUAAGGGAGGCAGCAGUGGGGAAUAUUGGACAAUGGGCGCAAGCCUGAUCCAGCCAUACCGCGUGGGUGAAGAAGGCCUUCGGGUUUUAAAGCCCUUUUGUUGGGAAAGAAAAGCAGCAGGUUAAUACCCCGCUGUUCUGACGGUACCCAAAGAAUAAGCACCGGCUAACUUCGUG